rnacentral:rRNA from 1 species
AUUGAACGCUGGCGGCAGGCCUAACACAUGCAAGUCGAGCGGAGCGGCGGACGGGUGAGUAAUGACUAGGAAUCAGCCUGGUGGUGGGGGAUAACGUCGGGAAACGGGCGCUGAUACCGCAUACUAUCAGAUGAGUCUAGGGCGGAUUAGAUCGUUGGAGGGGUAAAGGCCUACCAAGGCGACGAUCCGUAACUUGUCUGAGAGGAUGAUCAGUCAAACUGGAACUUAGACACGGUCCAGACUCCUACGGUAGGCAGCAGUGGGGAAUAUUGGACAAUGGGCGAAAGCCUGAUCCAGCCAUGCCGCGUGUGUGAAGAAGGUCUUCGGAUUGUAAAGCACUUUAAGUUGGGAGGCGUUACCAACAGAAUAAGCACCGGCUAACUUCGUGCCAGCAGCCGCGGUAAUAC